rnacentral:lncRNA from 1 species
CAUGACAACAAUUUUGCUACUUUCACAACUUGGGCUAAGUACUUGAGGUCAGCUAAGAAAAGGUGAAAAAGUACAUAAUUGUGAUUGUAAGCAAUGGCCUGUACAAAGAUGUAUUCCUAGAACAUAGCAAACUAUCACUCUUGAAUGCAUAGUCGAGCUAAAUAGCAAAAACGACAAUACAUGGAACAAUUAUGAAUUGGGGCUUACCCUAGUGGUCACUGCUGUUACCUGAAUACUAUCAUCAACCUCCUACCAUGUCAAUUGGGUGACAAUUUACUUUGCCACAUCAGGUACCAAACCCGACCCAACCUUUAAUGGGGCAGGUUUUACUCGACUAGAAAUGGAUCCAGGGUGGGUGUGGGGAAUAAUAAAAUCUGCUCCGAGCUCAAUCUGGAUAUAUAUAACUCUUUACAAAUCCCCUCCCCACCCUUUGUCCUAGUCGCUCCAUUCAUGAGAAAGAUAAAACAUGUGAAAGGUUACAUGCUAUAAUGCUUAGUUAUUAUUUUUUUUAGUUGAUUGCUUUUCUUAGUAUAAGAGACAUUGGACUUUUUUAAAGGACAAUAUUUUUGUUUGUUAUGUUUCUAUUAUUGUUGAGCAUUUGGCUUGUUAUAUUCUAGGUCUUCGCUUCUUAUUUUGUUUAAUAUUACAUAAAGUACUAAGAUUUAAUUUUAUAUUCUUUUUUAUUUGUUUGAUUUGUAUGCAAAAGAAAUUGAUUUUUGCAGCUUUCUCUAAUCCGAUCCGAUCCGUCCAUCCUGCCUUGUCUAACUCAACCCGCCCUGCUCCGCUCUGAGACGAGUGGGGUGGGUAUGGGUAAUGGCCUAACCGACCCAUCACCAUCCGUAAUGUCGGAUACAUAUUCGAGUUGGAUAUGCAUUGAACACUUGAGUACCCAUUAAAUUUAUUCAAUUUUUAGAAAUUGAUAGAGUUAACUCUUCUAGCCAAGGUCUGUCGUACAGCCCCAUACCGUACCAUAAUGGAAGAAAACCGGUACGAAAUAUGCCUUUAAGUCGGUACAAGCUCCAUCCUACCUCUGUAUGAGGCAUAUCGACUUGUACCGAAGUGCAUACCGGUCCAUACCUAGGCGUACCGAAGUGUGUACCAGUCCAUACCGAGACAAACUGAGAUAAAAAUCAAGAAAAUGGGUCAGAGAGCUAUUUCGGUACAGAGGUGUAUCGUGCCAUACUGAAUUGAUAUGGUACCGAUACGUUACUCGUGAGAUUGCGAGUCUUGUUUCUAGCCAUUGUUUUGACCCAUUAUAAUAAUGUUUAAGGGAGGUUUUAUUCUUUUAAGAGAUUGACUAAGAAUAUUCAUACUAAAGUAAUUUUACAAAUUCUCAUUUUCC